rnacentral:rRNA from 1 species
UGAUGCAUAGCCGAGUUGAGAGACUGAUCGGCCACAUUGGGACUGAGACACGGCCCAAACUCCUACCGUAGGCAGCAGUAGGGCCUCUACCUCAAUGGACGCAAGUCUGAUGGAGCAACGCCGCGUGAGUGAAGAAGGGUUUCGGCUCGUAAAGCUCUGUUGGUAGUGAAGAAAGAUAGAGGUAGUAACUGGCCUUUAUUUGACGGUAAUUACUUAGAAAGUCACGGCUAACUACGUGCCAGCAGCCGCGGUAAUACGUAGGUGGCAAGCGUUGUCCGGAUUUAUUGGGCGUAAAGCGAGUGCAGGCGGUUCAAUAAGUCUGAUGUGAAAGCCUUCGGCUCAACCGGAGAAUUGCAUCAGAAACUGUUGAACUUGAGUGCAGAAGAGGAGAGUGGAACUCCAUGUGUAGCGGUGGAAUGCGUAGAUAUAUGGAAGAACACCAGUGGCGAAGGCGGCUCUCUGGUCUGCAACUGACGCUGAGGCUCGAAAGCAUGGGUAGCGAACAGGAUUAGAUACCCUGGUAGUCCAUGCCGUAAACGAUGAGUGCUAAGUGUUGGGAGGUUUCCGCCUCUCAGUGCUGCAGCUAACGCAUUAAGCACUCCGCCUGGGGAGUACGACCGCAAGGUUGAAACUCAAAGGAAUUGACGGGGGCCCGCACAAGCGGUGGAGCAUGUGGUUUAAUUCGAAGCAACGCGAAGAACCUUACCAGGUCUUGACAUCCAGUGCAAACCUAAGAGAUUAGGAGUUCCCUUCGGGGACGCUGAGACAGGUGGUGCAUGGCUGUCGUCAGCUCGUGUCGUGAGAUGUUGGGUUAAGUCCCGCAACGAGCGCAACCCUUGUCAUUAGUUGCCAUCAUUAAGUUGGGCACUCUAAUGAGACUGCCGGUCACAAACCGCAGGAAGGUGGGGAUGACGUCAAGUCAUCAUGCCCCUU